rnacentral:rRNA from 1 species
UGGGGAAUAUUGGGCAAUGGAGGAAACUCUGACCCAGCAACGCCGCGUGAAUGAUGAAGGUCCUCGGAUUGUAAAGUUCUUUUCUAAGGGAAGAAGAAAGUGACGGUACCUUAGGAAUAAGCCUCGGCUAACUACGUGCCAGCAGCCGCGGUAAUACGUAGGAGGCAAGCGUUAUCCGGAAUGACUGGGCGUAAAGGGUGCGUAGGUGGUUUGACAAGUUGGUAGCGUAACUCCGAGGCUCAACCUCGGCACUACUACCAAAACUGUCGGACUUGAGUGCAGGAGGGGCAACCGGAAUUCCUAGUGUAGCGGUGGAAUGCGUAGAUAUUAGGAAGAACACCAGUGGCGAAGGCGGGUUGCUGGACUGUAACUGACACUGAGGCACGAAAGCGUGGGGAGCAAACAGG